rnacentral:lncRNA from 1 species
GAAAAGCGAUUAAUAUUUGAAGAUGGUUUAAACAUUCAAAACCACGUCGUACGCUCGCACCAAAUUAAUAGACAUGAUCGAAUAUAUUCAUAAAUAUUCCUGCAAAUGAAGUUCAGUGGUUUACAUAAUAAAGUUUAGGAUAUGCUCAUCAAUUACAAGAAAAACGAAGAGACGUUUCAACGAGAGCUUUCCUCACUUGCAGUGUGCAACUGAUCGAUAUAGAAAACGCACUAGAAAGCCUAAUUAAUGAGCUUCAUGCCAUGUCACUUAUUCUCAGCUGCUAAUAGUACUCCUGCAUAUCUAUAUAUAUAAAGUUUAAUUCAGUUUUUUGGCUUGAUAUAUUCAGCAUUUUCAACUGGAGGGUGUCCCGGAUAGUGACCAUAAGUUGGCAAUGGCUUGUGAAAGGGUGGUGGUUUCACUAUAACAGGAGGCUUGUAGACUGGUGGCUUCUCUAUCUUUGGUGGCUUGUAGACUGGUGGCUUCUCAAUCUUUGGAGGCUUGUAGACUGGUGGCUUCUCAAUCUUUGGAGGCUUGUAGACUGGAGGCUUCUCUAUCUUUUGGAGGCUUGUAGACUGGAGGCUUCUCAAUCUUUUGGAGGCUUGUAGACUGGUGGCUUCUCUAUCUUUGGUGGCUUUAGACUGGUGGCUUCUCAAUCUUUGGAGGCUUGUAGACUGGAGGCUUGUGUUCUGGGGAAAUGGCUUCUCUACCUUAGGAGGCUUCAGAUAACGGUGGCGCAGUCUCAUACUCAGGAGGUUUGUCGCCAUCUGCGAAAAGAGGGAGUGACUAAAACAACCACUCCCACGAACACACUAACAAGGAUGUGAUUUGCAUUUUGAGGCUUCUCGUGGUGAAAAAUCAGAAGAAAGUGUUGCCCUUUAAUACUAGUUUCGG